GGGGACCCGGCCUGAGGAGCAGGGGAGGGAGCAUCGAGACUAGGGCAGCGCGAAAAGUAGGUGGUUUGGAGAGUUGGGGGUUUCCAGAAGGCGUUUACUGACUGAUCCAAAUAAAACAUCUGGUGUGUUCCAGCUUCCCUGAACAUGGUGAGCAACAGCUGCCUCCCCAUAGCACCUCUGGGAUCCUCUGACAAGCCAGAUCCAUGCCUGGCCCAAGACAAGCUGCCUUGGCUUCCCUGCAGGAACCUGCCCUGGGAGGGACAUGGCUACUGGGCAGUACAAGAUGUGGACUCUCCUCCUUCAGGGCUCUGGUUCUUAGAGGCUGAGGAUGGUGGUACACUCACAAACCUCAAGAUCCACCUGGUUGAAUAUGACUGCCGGGAUCUUCAAACAUCUUAUACACCAAAACCCAAAGAAGAGAAGCCUGCCCACUGCAAUUUGCUGGAAGUACUUGUAUAAAUGGCUCAUUCUGUCUGCCAGUCGUUCUACACACCCAACCAUCGGUGGAAAUCUUUGAAUCUUAUCAGUGGACGGGAGUUUUAAAAUUUUGUUACUCAACCCACUUAAUUUACAGCUAAACAAGAGUGAAGGUUUUGGAGAAGGGAGGAAGGGGAGAGAGACCUGGUGCUAUUUUUCCCAUGUGACAGAAGGGAGUUUACCAAGAAACAGAAGAUGGAUACCACA